rnacentral:sRNA from 1 species
CUCUUUAGGCAGCGGCAGGGGGAGCAGGCUGUUCUGGAGGCUGCAGGGGGAGCAGGCUGUUCUGUCUCUGCUCCCCCUCCCCAGCGCACUACAAAGAGACCGGGGCCGGAAUAUGACGUCAUAUUCCGGCCCCAGUCUCAUUAAGCGGCGCGCUGGGGAGGGGGAGCAGAGACAGAACAGCCUGCUCCCCCUGCAGCCUCCAGAACAGCCUGCUCCCCCUGCCGCCGCCUAAAGAGCUC